ACUGCCACCCUCUCCCAGGUCUAGAGAGGGGUACCCACGGUGGAGGGAGGUGGGAGGCCGAGACGGCCCCGGGGGUCGGCGGAGACCCAGCGGGAGCAGGGGGAAAUCGGAAGAGCUGGGGGCAUGGAGCGGGCGAGUUUGGAGCGGAAUGAGCCGGGAGCCCUACGUUGUGGAAGGAAGACAACAGUAUAGGACCAUCAGCAGGACCGGACAGAGAGGGGCACCCCUGGCUGUCCUGGAACUUGUAGACCAGGCUGGCCUUGAACUCAGAAAUCCGCCUGCCUCUGACUCCCGAGUGCUGAGAUUAAAGGUGUGCACCACCACACCCGACAAGGAAGCCUGUUUUAAGAAGUGAUUCCAUGGAGGAGUUCUGCGGCGGCUCAGGGCUUGACUAAACAGUGGACCUCAGACAAGAGAGGCUAAACCAGGCUGCAGGUGACAGGAAGAAUUGAAUAAACUGAAAGCAAAGGGCAGCCUUCUAAUUACGCUUCGUGGCUAUGUGGACAACCUGGAGAAGUCUGGAAACAAGCCAGAAGCCCGAAGCCAGCAGUAGAGCUCUGACUGGCUUGUAUGCCUAGAAAGGAAGGGCUCUUCUUUCGCCUCACGGGCACAAAUGGGACCCACGAGCGCCGAUUUCAGACUAUUCUGAUCCCUUCAAAAAGAAAGUUAGGAGUCCAGGCUACUUCACUUUGGUGAUAGUAAUCAAACCCUAAUCACGGUGCAGCCACAAGUCACAGAGACCGAAAUAGCAGACUUAUGACAGACAAGGAUGGAGACAGCUAAGGAACUGGCUAUUAAUCACCAGUCCCUCUGCUCACAGCCCAUUGGACCCGAGGGUGAAGGAUGAGGAGGAUGGAAGAAAAUGGGAGUGGCGCUUGCUGCAAAGGGUCUCGAAGGGUCUCAGCACCUGCGAACUGGCUCCAAUCCAAACUCCACUAUUCAUGGUCAAGUUCACAUAGGGCUUGGGGUUCUAACAAGAUGUGACUAAACUUACGUUUUCUAUCUUAUUGAUUGUUGUUGAUGCACGUCUGGUGGUACAUGCUUGAAGAACACAGACACCCUGAGAAGAAAGACAUAGCUCCCCAGAUUCCAGCACGCACUUCUCUGUGAGCUACCACUGUAGCUGAAGAUACAGGGCUCAGGAGGAACACUUGGCCUUCGCUCUGAACUUCAGGCCCACGUAACCAUCAGCCGACAUGACACUGCAAAGGCACCUUAGCUCUGCUGUCCCAGAUGGCCAAGCCAACCUUAUUCCAGAAGCUACUUCUCCUGAUGUAAGAACCAGACACAAAGGACAACCUCUGCCUCACCCUCCUUCACACAACACUGAGUCUGUCAUCUUUGAAGCAUUUCUCAAGCCAUGUUUAUUCCCCUGGCCUACGUGGAACACAGCCAGGCUUCCUUUUCCUUACCUAGUUUGGCGGACUCCAACUCUUGGGAUAGCUUUUUUUCUGGCCCCAAACUCACCUGAUUCGUCUGUCCACUGCCACACUGAAGAAUGAACAGCUGUCUCAGAGAGCUUGGCUCCAGAGCUCUGCAAAAAGAGGACACCUUGCCUUGAGCUGUGUUUCCAGAAUGUAUUGCAGCCCCCAGAGUCAUGUACUGUGACCAGGUGAGGACAUGCAUCUUCUGUUCUCCUGCACCCAGGGCCCCAGCAACCAAGGAUCUGGGGACAUGGCGGGUGUUUGGCAGGUUCGCACUCUGAAAAUAUUUGAUGAGACUCAGUAUAUGCUAAAUAAACACUGGAUCAA
rnacentral:lncRNA from 1 species